AAAAGACACAGGAAAAACCGUCUUUGCAUGCGGAAAAGAAUGUGAAAGGGGAUGUACAGACAAGGCGUAUAAAGAGGGCAAGCUUAAGGACGAGAGCAAGGAACUUAAGGAAGAGGAGAAGGAACUUUGGGCCUUUCAGAAAAAACAAGUUAAGGAGUAUAUGGACAUGCGUUGCAAGGACUUUGAGAAUAAGCAAUGUAAGGACGACGACAAGGAAUGUAAGGACGAGGCGAAGUUCUGUAAGGACAUGCAUAUGGCCUUUAAGGAAGAGAACAAGCAGCUUAAGGAUGAGGACAAGCUUCUUAAGGACGACAAUAAGCUAGUUAAGGAUGAGGAAAAAA